AUGGGUUCCAGCAAGGGCAGUGCGGCCUUAUUUGUCGGCAUCACCUUCAUCUGCCGUGCCAUCAUCAUGAAUGCUGCAUGGGUACCUUCACAGCCUAAGACUAAUGUGUGGGUGACGCUUGCCAGGGCCAUUGGACAGAACACUCUCUGCCUGUCAAUGUCGUCCUCUGACUCCCCAUUUACUACGUGUCUGGUAGGGCUCCCCCUUGAUCAAGGGAAGUGGGAACAACUGGCUCACACCACUAGCGCUUCUUCAGUGGUGCAGGAGGAGAAGGUCUGGGGAGGGAACUGGACGGUGGAUAUGUGGGACCAAUGGGUACCUCACUUGCCUCCAAUGCCACUACCCCCACAGGAGUUAGAACUUUUGGGAUCAGUAAAAAUGGAUUGGUGUGUGUUUUUCAAUUAUUCUGGUAACGAUCAAUUUCUUUCAUGGUCAGUCAAUGCUACAAUGCUGGCAUAUAGAAACGCGUCAGCCUGGUGUAAUUACACAUCUUUAAAUAUUUCAAAAUCAAGUAACUUACCCCUUCAACUACCCCGAGGGGUAUUCUUAAUAUGUGGAGAUCGUGCGUGGCCGGCCAUUCCACCAUAUAUUAAAGGAGGGCCUUGCUCUUUGGGUAGGUUGACUUUAUUGAUGCCAAAUCUGACUAUGAUCGUUGCAAAACAUCACAAUCAUAAUAGGAUCCAAAGAAGCAUUCAUGCUUUUGAUAAAAAUUGCAAAGACGAGAUUAAGUUUUGGAACAGGGAAGCAAUUGUGUUUUCGUCACUCUUUACUCCGGGGUUAUCGGCUAGUAAGGCACUAAUUAGCUUGAAUAAGCUGGGAUGCUGGCUUAGCAAGCAGACUAACGCAACCUCACAAGCACUUUCAGGACUGUUACAGGAUGUUGACUCAGUUCGUCACGCUACAUUGCAGCACAGAGCUGCUAUUGACUUUCUACUUCUUGCACAUAGACAUGGCUGUGAGGACAUUGAAGGAACGUGCUGUAUGAAUUUAUCGGAUCACUCCACCUCCAUCCAUCAGAGCAUUCAGCAACUGCAGGAGGGUGUGCAUAAGUUACAUGAGGGAACUUCAUGGGAGUGGUUUGAUGGGUGGUUUCAAGGUCUGGACCCCGGCGUUCAGAAACUAGUUAACUUAGUGCUAAUGUGUCUCUUGAUUGUGUGCCAUUUAAUCUGUAUUCCUUUCAUUGUAUGCUGUGUAAGAGCCAUGAUUAAGAAAGCAACAGAUCAAGUACUUGUUCAGGUUAAUAGAGACUUUUCUUAUUAUUAG
rnacentral:lncRNA from 1 species